rnacentral:rRNA from 2 species
UUGGAGGGCAAGUCUGGUGCCAGCAGCCGCGGUAAUUCCAGCUCCAAUAGCGUAUAUUAAAGUUGUUGCAGUUAAAAAGCUCGUAGUUGAAUUUCGGGACCAAUUUGUUGGUCGUGCCUCGGUACGUACUGGUAUUAUUGGUUUCUACCUUCUGAAGAACCUUGAUGUCAUUAAUUUGGUGUCUUGGGGAAUCAGGACUGUUACUUUGAAAAAAUUAGAGUGUUUAAAGCAAGCAUACGCUUGAAUACAUUAGCAUGGAAUAAUGAAAUAGGACGUUUGAUUCUAUUUUGUUGGUUUCUAGGAUCGACGUAAUGAUUAAUAGGGAUAGUUGGGGGCAUUAGUAUUCAAUUGUCAGAGGUGAAAUUCUUGGAUUUAUUGAAGACUAACUACUGCGAAAGCAUUUGCCAAGGAUGUUUUCAUUAAUCAAGAACGAAAGUUAGGGGAUCGAAGACGAUCAGAUACCGUCGUAGUCUUAACCAUAAACUAUGCCGACUAGGGAUCGGAUGAUGUUAAUUUUUUAAUGACUCAUUCGGCGCCUUACGGGAAAC